GCGGAAGUGGCGAAAUUGGUAGACGCACCGGAUUUAGGUUCCGGCGCUUGUGCGUGUGGGUUCAAGUCCCUCCUUCCGCA
rnacentral:tRNA from 1 species